UACGGGGGGGGGCAAGCGUUGUUCGGAAUUACUGGGCGUAAAGGGCUCGUAGGCGGCCAACUAAGUCAGACGUGAAAUCCCCAGGCUCAACCUGGGAACUGCGUCUGAUACUGGUUGGCUUGAAUCCGGGAGAGGGAUGCAGAAUUCCAGGUGUAGCGGUGAAAUGCGUAGAUAUCUGGAGGAAUACCGGUGGCGAAGGCGGCAUCCUGGACCGGCAUUGACGCUGAGGAGCGAAAGCUAGGGGAGCAAACGGG
rnacentral:rRNA from 1 species